GACUCAGAGGCACUUGAAAUUGCUAAAACCGGAAAAUCGAUUAAUUGUUUUAAUAAUGAUAUGAUAUCAUACAAUCAAUAAUAAAUAUGAUAUUAUUAAUAAUACGAUGUAAAAAUAUGUAAAAUAAAUAAAGU
rnacentral:ribozyme from 1 species